rnacentral:ncRNA from 2 species
GUGGGUGGAAUAGUAUAACAAUAUAACAUGUGUUGUUAUAGUAUUCCACCUUCCCU